AUGGCUGAAAAUUGGGUAGAAGAAGGCUCAAAAAAUACUUCUGCUCCGACGUCGCCCCCUAGUUGUCAAACCUCUUCGACAAGAAGAUCAAGGCAACGAAACAUAUUUCAUCUAUUAAGUCAUCGAGAGGUGUCUCCUCGAACAAAACACCAAGCUAAAAGGCAUUGGAAUAAGCCUCCGACUUGCGGCGCUGGUUACAGUGAGUUAAGAUAUUCAGCUACAGAUGCUAAACAUGAUCUAUUUUCGUGGGCAGAAUCACAGUCCCUGCAUCGUUGGUCUGCAAAGUAUUGCCCUCUUAUGCCACCACCUAGGUCAACUAUUGCAGCCGCAUUCAGUUCAGAUGGGAAAACACUUGCAUCAACACAUGGUGACCAUACUGUUAAAAUAAUUGACUGCCAAACAGGGAAAUGUUUGAAAGUGUUGGGUGGACAUCGGCGCACACCUUGGGUGGUUAGAUACCAUCCCUUGCAUUCUGAUAUACUUGCUAGCGGGAGUUUGGAUCAUGAAGUCCGUCUUUGGGAUGCUAAUACCUCAGAUUGUAUUGGAUCUCAGGAUUUCCAGAGGCCAAUUGCAUCCAUUGCGUUUCAUGCAAGGGGGGAGAUUCUGGCAGUUGCAUCAGGUCACAAAUUGUUCAUAUGGAACUACAAUAGGCGAGGGGAGUCUUCUGCCCCGACCAUUAUAUUAAGAACCCGCCGUUCGUUGAGAGCUGUGCAUUUCCACCCUCAUGGUGCUCCAUAUCUUCUUACGGCAGAGGUUAACAAUCUUGACUCCGCAGACUCACAGCUGACCCAUGCAACGUCUACUGGCUAUUCGAACUAUCCCUCAGCUUUGUUUUUUGCAAACAUCAACUCUAGAGGCCAUCCACAUCUUGAGUCUAAUAUGUCAUCACCUUGCCUAAUUUGGCCUGCAUUCCUCAGGGAUGAUGGAAGUCUAUAUAUUCCUCGAAAUGACUUGGCUAGUGGUUCAACCAAUGUGCAGCAGAGUUCAUCAUCUUUAGCUCAAAAUGUAUUGGCGUCAGAUGCUGAAAACCAGCAGUCUGACCAGUCUGUAACCCCUAUGGAUGUAUGUCCAGGGGAACCAUCUGCGUCUAGUGAUGUUCAAAUGCCUUCCACGAGCAACAGCCUGCCACUUCCGGCAAUAGCCAGGCCUUCAGGAUCUGCUGUUGAUCGUAUGCCAGUGAAUUCAUUCACCACUAGUGGGUUAGAUGUUCAAAUGUUUCUAAGAAAUUCAGAGGGUGGAAAUCACCAUCACGAUCUCUUCAGUGACUCGCGUAGCUGGGAGCUGCCUUUUUUGCAUGGUUGGUUGAUGGCCCAAAGUCAGACAGGUGCUUCUUCAUCGAUACCGAUUCCCGCUGGCAGUACUAGAGGAUCAAAUCGACACUACGCCUCACGCCCUCAUGCUUUGGCCUCUGUACCAGGGGUUGGGAAUUCACUUCUGGGUCCACAAAUCGAUGAAGCUGAGGCUCGUGCUGCGUCCUUAGGUGUUGGAUCAGAACUUGCUACCUCACUGUUUUCUGCCGGCGCUGCUGAAUUACCUUGUACAGUGAAGCUUAGAGUAUGGCGGCAUGAUAUCAAGAAUCCAUGUGUUGCAUUAGAAACCAAGGCAUGCUGCUUGACAAUCUCUCAUGCCGUUCUUUGCAGUGAAAUGGGUGCCCAUUUCUCCCCUUGUGGACGAUUUCUGGUGGCUUGUGUUGCAUGUUUGCUGCCUCAAACAGAAGGUGACCAGGGUAGCCAAUUACCUGUGCAGUAUGAGUCUACAGGAGCUGGAACAUCACCAACUCGUCACCCACUUCCCUCCCACGGAGUGAUUUAUGAGCUUCGGGUUUAUUCUCUUGAGGAGGCAACAUUUGGAGAAAUUCUCACGUCCAGAGCAAUAAGAGCGGCUCAUUGUUUAACUUCCAUUCAGUUUUCGCCUACUUCAGAGCACAUACUGUUGGCAUAUGGACGUCGUCAUAGCUCGUUGCUCAGGAGCAUUGUUAUGGAUGCGGAGACGACUGGAAUUCCUGUAUAUACUAUCUUAGAGGUUUACAGAGUUUCGGACAUGGAGCUGGUAAGAGUUCUUCCUAGUGCUGAAGAUGAAGUCAAUGUUGCAUGCUUUCAUCCUUCCCCUGGAGGUGGUCUUGUUUAUGGGACUAAGGAAGGGAAGCUCAGGAUCCUACAACACAAUGGCGCAGACGCUGCAAGCAUGGGACUGAAUUGCUUCAUCGAGGAAAGUUCAGAGGUAUGCGUUGGAAGGCUGAAUGAUCAUUUGCGUCAUGAGCUUAUAUGUGUACCUUCCCUGGAACUUUUGUCUACAAGCUCCGUUUUUGUUUAG
rnacentral:rRNA from 1 species